AUGGGGUACAGAACUGUCCCACGUACUGAGGACAUGAUGUCUGAGCCCCCGGCCACAGCACUGCUUGUCCACGGGCCCCCAAUCAUGAUGAUGAUCAAAAAUCCCCCCACAAUUCUCAGAACAGCCCUGGGGUUCGGGACCACCGAGCUGAGAAUUCCUACACCAGAUCCACCCCUACUAGGAACUGGGAAUCCACAGUCAGGACGGGUGGCCUGUGAGGUCUGCCUUCACACACCGCACACAUUCCCACCUGCCUCGCCCUCCUGUCCCCCUCAUUUCAGGACAGAGGGGAGACCCGUUUCUACCUGUGCACCGUUGCCCGUGCCGUUCUGCUGGGGACUAGGACGCACAGGGUUUCUAAGCACCGGCUGUGUACCGGGCUUUAUACACAUUGCCUCCCUCCCUGCAGGGUGGACCUUUCCAUUGUCCUGUGUCACAGGCUGCCACACUGAGGCUCGGAGGGCAAGGGCCUGCCCUGUGUCACACAGCGCGGGAGGCAGAGGGCGGUCCUGCUCUCAGGUGUGUUUGGUGCCAACACACAGCUCUGCCCGCGUCUCCAGCGGCGUUUCCUCCGAUGUGAGAGGGAAGAUGCCAGAGGCCGGUGCCCCUGGUGGGCUGUUGGCUCAGAGAAGGUUUCUCAAAAUGUGACUCAACAGCAAAAUGGAGUGAAUUUCUGAGAACGUGCAACGACCGCGACGGAGCUCGAGGGCGCUAUGCUGAGCGAGAAAGCCCAUGUCGAAAAGUUGCGUGCUGUGUGCCUCAAUCGAAGAAUGUUCCUGAAAUGACAGAACUGUAAGAGGGAGGAGAGAUGGGUGCUUGCCGGGCGACAGGGGCGGGCGUGGGGCCGGGGGGGAGCGG
rnacentral:lncRNA from 1 species